AGAAAAAAAUUCUGAUAGAUGUCCUCCCUGGUUUACAGCUGAUUUGAUAUUGUUAUAAAAAACUUUAACCCAAUUAAUUAUUGAUUCUCCAAAAUUGAACAACUUCAAGACACUGGUUAAAAAUUCCCAAGAAAUCGAAUCAAAUGCCUUUUCGAAAUCUAUGAGCAGCAAAAGUCCUGGAAUAUCUUUUUCCUCAGUAAAUUGCAUAAUAUCAUAAAUUAAACGAAGAUUUUCUCCAAUAUAUCUCCCACUAAUAAAUCCAGUUUGAUCGAAAUCUAUCAGUUUAUCUAAAACUGUUUUAAAGCGUUUUGCUAUAACUCCAGAGCCAAUUUUAUAUACUGUAUUUAAUAAAGAUAUAGGUCGCCAAUUUUUUAAGAAAUGUCUAGGCUUAUUUCCCUUCGGCAGGCAUGUAAUGAUUCCUUGUUUUUGCGUAACAGAUAGUUCACCAAUCUCAGUACUGUAGUUCAAGGAGUUUACAACAAAAAUUUUCAAAUCUUUCCAAAAAAAUUUAAAGAACUCUGUGGAGAAACCAUCAGAUCCUGGUGUUUUAUUAUUUUUCAUAUUUUUCAAUAUCAAACCAGCUUCUUCAAUUGUUAUUUCACCUUCAAGAUUUUUUUUCUCAUCAUCAGUUAGUUUUUUUAAAUUUUAUAUCUUUCAAUCCUUCUUUAAGUUUACUGAAUUUAUCUCCCUUUGACUUGUCUUUAUUCUUGUACAAAUUUUCAUAAAAAGAUUUUACUUCUUUUAAAAUAUCUUUUUGUUUUGAAAUUACA
rnacentral:lncRNA from 1 species